rnacentral:rRNA from 1 species
UAGAGUUUGAUCAUGGCUCAGGAUGAACGCUGGCGGCGUGCUUAACACAUGCAAGUCGAACGAAGCGCUUGAGAACAAUUCUUCGGAGGCGUUCUUUAGUGACUGAGUGGCGGACGGGUGAGUAACGCGUGGGUAACCUGCCCUAUACAGGGGGAUAACAGUUAGAAAUGACUGCUAAUACCGCAUAAGCGCACAGGACCGCAUGGUUCGGUGUGAAAAACUGAGGUGGUAUAGGAUGGACCCGCGUCUGAUUAGCUUGUUGGUGGGGUAACGGCUCACCAAGGCGACGAUCAGUAGCCGGCCUGAGAGGGCGACCGGCCACAUUGGGACUGAGACACGGCCCAAACUCCUACGGGAGGCAGCAGUGGGGAAUAUUGCACAAUGGGGGAAACCCUGAUGCAGCGACGCCGCGUGAGUGAAGAAGUAUUUCGGUAUGUAAAGCUCUAUCAGCAGGGAAGAAAAUGACGGUACCUGACUAAGAAGCCCCGGCUAACUACGUGCCAGCAGCCGCGGUAAUACGUAGGGGGCAAGCGUUAUCCGGAUUUACUGGGUGUAAAGGGAGCGCAGACGGCAGCGCAAGUCCGGGGUGAAAGCCCGCGGCCCAACCGCGGGACUGCCCUGGAAACUGUGCGGCUGGAGUGCCGGAGAGGUAAGCGGAAUUCCUAGUGUAGCGGUGAAAUGCGUAGAUAUUAGGAGGAACACCAGUGGCGAAGGCGGCUUACUGGACGGUAACUGACGUUGAGGCUCGAAAGCGUGGGGAGCAAACAGGAUUAGAUACCCUGGUAGUCCAC